rfam:Ricinus communis cultivar Hale ctg_1100012361887, whole genome shotgun sequence.
AAUCCAUGAUAUGGGCAUUGCGAUAAACGUGAUUUGAAGCGAUCCAAUACUUCAUGAAAAGAUUCAGCAUUCUUUUAAUAAAAAUUAGAAAUUUCAGCUUUCAAUUC